UGUAAAAAAUUUCUGUAAAUUUACAGGGAAAUUCAACAGCAAAAUGCUGUUUUCGUGUAAUAACAGUAAGUUGCUGUUUUUUACAGUGCAUUGUGGGUAGACUCGCUCACUUCAGGUCUGUUGUCGAGCAACAACAGAAUGUUACUGUUAUUUAACAGUAUUAUAGCAUAUUUUUCGUUGUGCACGCCAUUUUGGAUUGUCUGCAUGAGGUAGGUCUGCAGCUUUAUCGAUGCUUGUGCUAAUUUUAAAUUACAUAUUACUUUAAAAUAUUGCAUUUUAUCCAGUGAAGCUUUUCAAAAAUAAAUCAGAUUUAAUUUCCUAUUUUAAUCAGGCAAAGCGGGUAUUAUACCAUCACAUCAGUUACACUCACAUCAGAUCACAGGGUUAUUUUGGUGCUUUGGUGCUAUUUUUGUCCUUAUUCCCUUUUCGUGCAUUGUGUAGACAAACAAAUAUUACAGAUAUUAUUAAGGUGAGUAAAAGAUGAGAGAGUAUUAUUUUGUAUAACCAUUCAUGUUGUGAGUAAAAUGUAUAUUGCCUCUAUGAAAUAUUAUCAAGUCUUUUUGCAGAUGUUAAUUAUCAUAAAUUGUUAUCUUUGCUAAUAGAUGUGUGCCACUCCUGCUGACUUUAAGAAGACUAGUAACACUCACCUGUGACACCUUGUUUGAUCCUGUUUGCAUCUUUGGCUAUAUUCUUGGCGAGAACCGGUUAAUGAUAACAUCUUCAACUUGCAAAAAGUGAGAGCAGCAUCCACACUGGAAGUCCUUUAAAGACGCUUCAUUAAAAUCAUACCGGGAACCAAGGCUGCAAAGGGAAAAGUGACCUCUAAAACAGGAAAACUGCAAAAGAAGACCAUCAACAGUCAGUCUCAAACUAUCAAAUCUUUUAAAAAGACUUAUGGACUUUGAGUGGUACUUCAUUUAAAAUGUAGCUGACACUUCCCACCAAUACAGUUUUUUUUUUUAAAUAUGGUGGGCUGAAGUAAUGGCAGGUGACUUUUCUGAGGAGGCACGAAUGCAUAUCUAGCCAAAACAUUAUCAUGUGUGUGGCUCGUCAUUUCAAGAUGUGCGUUCGGCGCGUCAUGUGAACCUGUGCAUCGCGUGUCAUGUCAAAAUACGUGCCUGCUCCAGACACUUUGAAGGGGAUUAUAAUAAAAGAGAUGCUCGCUUUUGCCAUAGUAGCUUAAUCUCAUGUGUAAUCAGAGUUUAGUGUUAAAUGAGUGUCUUGCAAGUAUCAUGUAAAUGUCUCUUUUAUUCUUUAUCAUAUUCAAAGCGUUUGGGGCAGGCACGUAUUUUGACAUGAUGUGUGAUCCAUAUAGGUUCACAUUACACUCCAUUCCACUGGUGGGGUGGUGUUUUUAAUACUGGUUUGUAUAUUAUAGACCAUGUUUUCAUAUUUAAAAUUGGGCUGGUGUCUGUUAAAGAAUUAGCAAAUUAAUGUUUUAUUGAAUUCUUUUAAAAAUGUGGUGUUUUUACAGUUGUUAAACUUUUGUGCUUUUUUUAAAUCAAAAUUUUAAACUACAUUUGUAUUUUAAGUAAAGAUAAGGCAUCUCAAUAUUGUUCUUUGUUUGUUAGAUUUUUUGUGUCAUUUUUGUAUUAUAUGUUAUUGGUGCCUUUUAAUUGCACCACAGUUUAUGCACUGAAUAUUAAAAUAUAUCUGCUUGUAUUUCUGCCUGUUUUAUGGCAUAACAAACAUAGCAUAACAGUCAAUCUGGUGUUGAAUAAAGAAUAAAAAAUUCAUAACCUGUCCUUUUUUGUUUUAUGUUAUCCACUUUGACAAAUAUAAAAUGCAGGGUGUAAUAGCAUUUAAAUUUUAAAAUAAUGGAGGUGUGACUAAUAUGUACUGUAAAUUAACAGGUAUAUGAUGCUAAAUAACAGUUUUAUGCUGUAGAUAACAAAAACAGUAUCAUGCUAUUAAAUAACAGCUGUAUUCUGUAGAUAACAAAAACAGUACCAUGCUGUUAAAAUAACAGUUGACUGCUGUAGGUAACAAAACAGUAUCAUGCUGUUUUUUCUAAUAACAGUAUCCCGCUGUAAAUUAACAGUGCAAUGCUGGCAACCACAGCUUCCAGCAUAAUACCGUUUUUUUACAGGGAAA